GACGAACGCUGGCGGCGUGCCUAACACAUGCAAGUCGAACGGAGAUAUGAUUUCGGUUGUAUCUUAGUGGCGAACGGGUGAGUAACGCGUGAGCAACCUGACUCUUAGAGGGGGAUAACACCCGGAAACGAGUGCUAAUACCGCAUAAGACCACGACAUGGCAUCAUGACGAGGUCAAAGGAGCAAUCCGCUGAGAGAGGGGCUCGCGUCCCAUUAGAUAGAUGGCGGGGUAAUGGCCCACCAUGUCAGCGAUGGGUAGCCGAGCUGAGAGGCUGAUCGGCCACACUGGAACUGAGACACGGUCCAGACUCCUACGGGAGGCAGCAGUGGGGAAUAUUGGGCAAUGGGCGCAAGCCUGACCCAGCAACGCCGCGUGAGGGAAGAAGGCUUUCGGGUUGUAAACCUCUGUCCUUGGUGACGAAAAAAAUGACGGUAGCCAAGGAGGAAGCCCCGGCUAACUACGUGCCAGCAGCCGCGGUAAUCACGAG
rnacentral:rRNA from 1 species